GCGCCUGUAGCUCAGCCGGAGAGAGCAUCUGCCUUCUAAGCAGAGGGUUGGGGGUUCGAGUCCCUCCAGGCGCA
rnacentral:tRNA from 1 species